GCUUAGAAUUAUAAGGAGACGCCGUUUUGAUAUUGACGUAUCUAUAGUUAUAUAAAUAUGAAACAAACUAUGCAACAUAGUUCUGUCUCACUCUUUCUAAGCAGAUAAGUGUAUUUGAAAACAGGGACAACAAUAUUUUUGUGAUUGCGUAAAAUGGUGACAUUUACUUUUGAAAUCCUUCUGCGUGCCAUAUCUGGCCAUAUAUGUCAUGGUAGUUGUGCUGUCAAAUAGGUGCUCUUCGUGACUUAUUUUGCUAUUUUAUAGAAUAUCACUCGUGUUUACUUUUAAGACUUUACUAUUUCAAUAGUGAAAUAAUCAACGAAUAUGCCUAUGUGUUGUAUUAGAAGUGUGGUGCUAGGAAGCACCAAAAUCAAGCUGGAUUGUCUUUACACAGUGCUUGCGCACAGACGAGCAAAUCGGAAUGCAAGUUGCAAUAUUUGCUUCAGAACUUAGUUACCGAAUAUAGGUUUCGAAUUGUAUAAAUAUUUUUUCUUAGCACUAAAAUUGUUUUGUACAAUCGAUUAAUACAUAAUUAGCUCCAUUUGCAUUAUAUAACUUUCUCAUGAAUAGCUUGAAAACGAUUUUAAAUUAUUGUAUUUUUUUAAGAGUAUCUCCUUAUGGCGUUUCUUGCGGAUUCUUCUUCAUAGGACCGAAUCUUUGGCACCCUGCAACUAGUCUGACGUGAAAGAACUUUCAUAGGGCUAUUUGAAAUAAUAAAUAAUUACUUUGCCUGUUUUUUUUUUUUUUCUAAGGUAUCUCCCUACUGAAAUGACUCCUCCCAUUUGGUUGAUGUUGUUGAGGUUAUUAGUAUCAGUGAAGUUAAUGUGAUAGUUAGUUCUAUGACGAAGAGAUUAUUUAUACUCGGUUAUUUUAUGCACCCAGUAAGACUCGUACAUACUUCUAACUAGAAUACAAUAUCGAUAUUUGUUGAAUCCGGUAGCGGUACAACCCUAGUCUUUCUUUCUCCUGUUCCCAAAUAUUACUUGGGGUCGGCGCAAUAUGUCAUUUUCUUCCAUUUUCCCCUGUCACUCGUCAUACUGACACUCACUCCCUUCCUAUUCAUAUCAUCUUUCAGGCAAUCCAUCCAUCUUUUCUUAGGUCUUCCUCUUCCUCUCCAUCCAUCUACAUUCAUACUUAGCACACACUUUGUUGCAUGCGUAUCAUCCCUCCUCAUUACAUGUCCAUACCACGACAAUCUUCUACUUCUCAUCUUUUCUGUAACUGGCGCUACUUUCAGACUUCCUCUAAUGUAAUCAUUCCUCACUUUAUCCAUUCUUGUAACACCACACAUCCAUCUCAGCAUUCUCAUUUCUGUUACAUGCACUCUCUUCUCGUCCCUCUUUUUCAAUGCCCAACACUCCGAUCCAUACAGGACGACAGGU